rnacentral:rRNA from 1 species
GACGAACGCUGGCGGCGUGCUUAACACAUGCAAGUCGAACGGAAAGGCCCCUUUUGGGUACUCGUGUGGCGAACGGGUGAGUAACACGUGAGUAACCUGCCCUUGACUUCGGGAGAACUUCAGGGAACUGGGGCUAAUACAGGAUAGGAAUCCUUGCUGCGUGGUGGGGGUUGGAAAGCUUCGGCGGUUUUGGAUGGACUCGCGGCUUAUCUGCUUGUUGGGGGGGUAGUGGCUUACCAAGGCUUUGACGGGUAGCCGGCCGGAGAGGGCGACCGGCCACCUUGGGACUGAGAUACGGCCCAGACGCCUACGGGAGGCAGCAGUGGGGAAGAUUGCACAAUGGGCGGAAGCCUGAUGCAGCAACGCCGCGUGCGGGAUGACGGCCUUCGGGUUGUAAACCGCUUUCAGCAGGGGAGAAGCUUGUGGUGACGUUACCUGCAGAAGAAGCACCGGCUAACUACGUG